rnacentral:tRNA from 1 species
GUCGGGUUCACCGAGUGGUUAAGGCGCCAGAUUUAAGCUCUGGUUCCCGAGAGGGAAUCGUAGGUUCGAAUCCCUCAGCUGACA